rnacentral:rRNA from 1 species
CGAACGCUGGCGGCGUGCUUAACACAUGCAAGUCGAGCGGUAAGGCCCUUUCGGGGGUACACGAGCGGCGAACGGGUGAGUAACACGUGGGUGACCUGCCCUCAGCUCUGGGAUAAGCCUGGGAAACCGGGUCUAAUACCGGAUAUGACUCCAUGACGCAUGUUGUGGGGUGGAAAGCCUUGUGCGGCUGAGGAUGGGCCCGCGGCCUAUCAGCUUGUUGGUGGGGUGAUGGCCUACCAAGGCGACGACGGGUAGCCGGCCUGAGAGGGCGACCGGCCACACUGGGACUGAGACACGGCCCAGACUCCUACGGGAGGCAGCAGUGGGGAAUCUUGCGCAAUGGGCGAAAGCCUGACGCAGCGACGCCGCGUGAGGGAUGACGGCCUCGGUUGUAA